GAGAGGUCGUCUCACCCUUCGUCGGCUCAGGUUGAAACUCUGGUUGAGUUUAUGGAGCAAAACCCUGGCCUGGCGAAUGGUUUCGUGAGAACGCAAAAUGCCAGAGAGCGAAGUCGAAGCCAGUGGGAGGAAUUAGCCGUGCGCUUAAAUAGUAUAAGGUGGCACCAUCAAAACCUACAAACAGUGGACCAAGGAAAAUGAUACGCCGUCUCCAUCACCCGAAGCACAACCUAUAUACAAUACUAAUGAUGACAACAUUAAUGUACCACAACAACAGCAGAGUCAGGCACGGCCUACUGAGGAAUCAGCAGCUAUUGUAUUUUAUGUAAGCUAUUUUGUACUAAAUAUGUCUG